rfam:Echinostoma caproni strain Egypt genome assembly, scaffold: ECPE_scaffold0014893
GGCCUCGUGGCUCAGCUGAUAGAGCGUGCACGUACAAAGCGUAGGCGGUGUCCAUGCGUGGGUUCGAAUCCCAGCGAGGCUA